AUCUCUUCAGAGACAUCCGAUAAAAUUGGAACGAUACAGAAAAGAUUAGCAUGGCCUCUACGUAAGGAUGACACGCACAAAUCGAGGAAUGGUCCAAGUUUUC
rnacentral:snRNA from 1 species